AUGGGAUAGAGGAAGGUGGACAUCUGAGACUUGGGACAGUAUACAGAGCCCGAGGGAGGACAGUGAUGACUAGCAGCACAGACAGGAGGACUGGCCAGAAGGAGGAGCAUCAACAUAGACAACAGUCAUCUUUCUCUGAAUAUACUAUAUCAACAGCACUAGAUAUAACACAGGGUGACCUAUCAGAUCGUACUUGUAUCUACUGGAUUACAGGUUUCCACUUUACAGACUGGGAAGCUGAGGUUCAAAGGGACAUAAUAUCCUACCUACAUAUUCAGUAGUAAGAGACCAAAGAUGGUUUUUCCUCAAUUCUGAACCCGUGCCCUAACCACUGUUCUGUCUGGUGUCUCCACGGAAUUAAUAGGGAUUCCUGAAGGACAGGAAUUCUCCAUUCUGCCUUUGCAAGAUCUGGUAGGAAGUGGGUAGAGGUUGCUCAAAAUAAGAGAAGAAAGAUAUAUGUAAUAAAGAUGAGCUGGCAA